rnacentral:rRNA from 1 species
AUUGAACGCUGGCGGCAGGCCUAACACAUGCAAGUCGAGCGGAGCGGCGGACGGGUGCGUAAUGCCUAGGAAUCUGCCUGGUAGUCGGGGAUAACGUCCGGCAACGGGCGCUAAUACCGCAUACUAUCAGAUGAGCCUCGGUCGGAUUAGCUAGUGGGUGGGGUAAAGGCCUACCAAGGCGACGAUCCGUACCUGGUCUGAGAGGAUGAUCAGUCAAACUGGAACUGAGACACGGCCCAGACUCCUACGGGAGGCAGCAGUGGGGAAUAUUGGACAAGGGGCGAAAGCCGGAGGCAGACAGGCGGCGUGUGUGAAGAAGGUCUUCGGAUGGGAAAGCACUUUAAGUUGGGAGGCGGUACCAACAGAAUAAGCAACGGCUAACUUCGUGCCAGCAGCCGCGGUAAUAC